CAGAGUUAGUCGGUACAUGGCAGCGCUGGGUUGAAAAACCAGGAAGGCCUCUGAUUUAGUCCACUGGAAUGAUUAGACUGGAGGAACUAAGUAAAAAUGACUUGGAUCAGAAAAUACUGGAGACAGAGAAACCAGUUAAAGCCUAUUGAUGUGCUGGUGAUUUGAGAUAUAGAGCAUCUCUGUGAAAUAAAACGUACUGAAAAACUUCAGCCCUCAGUGCUUCUCCCCAUGUUACAAGAUACUGGCAUCAGAAAAGACCACAAAAUGAAUACCAGUCUUUACUACUUCCUUGCUUUCCAAAUCCCUACUGGGAAGUAAGAUUUAGCAGUGUGAGAGUAAUUAAGCAGAAUACCUCCUUCCUCCAGAUACCAACACAGAUGCAUAAGAAGACAUAGCUGAAUUUUUGAGCAACAGAUGUUAACUUACAAAGGACAAGAUAAGCUGUACUGUGUUCUUUGCAACAGAAGUCAAAUAUCCCAACAUGAGAAGAGCCUCUGUGCAUAUAGGCAAAGAUAACCAACUGUAGCUAAAGGCUCCCGUGUACUUUCAGUACUCAAAAUAGUCAUGCAUAUGGGGAUUCUGUCAGUCAACACCAUAUCUGCUGUUGAUGUUGGUAACAGUGACCAUCAGAAACUUCAGGAAGUGAAAGAAGAUCUCCCAUAGAAAAGGAAACCAUGCAGAACACAGAGAAGAAUCCAAAAAGGACAUGUCUGUUGGCAAACAACUUGGGAGAGAACCAGAAGUGAACCCAGUUGCUUGUGUCAUUAUUUUGCCUUAGCCUCCAAGAGCCUGAACAGCCCAAGGAGGACAAGACAGUCUUGACCUAAGGGAAAGAUAUGCUUUAUUUACAAGAAAACAUUAAAAAAUC
rnacentral:lncRNA from 10 species